CCUUGGUCAUGGGGGUUUGUGGGGAAUGUUGGCUGGCUCGAGGCAUCCGCGUCCUGGCUUGCAGAUCGUUUUGCCUGCUACCGGAAAGAUCGAGAGGCGUCGGACCAGGCUUCAUUCCUCGCAAACCGGUGCAUCCAUG
rnacentral:pre_miRNA from 1 species